rnacentral:lncRNA from 1 species
GCAAGUUCUUUUUAACCGUAUAGUAGAUAGUAGUGGAAUGUUUUUUAUACAGCUAAUCGGUAGCGAGACAUACUAAAUGAAAGAUUCUCCAUCAAAUCUUUAUAUAGAAAGUAAAUCUCAGCAGACAGCUGCACAAGUGAACAUUCUACAGUACACAAAUCCGAUUGCCCCCCCUAUAACUAUAUUAGUUAGACUUUCC